AACCUAAGGAAAACGCAGUGAUAUUUGUUAGAAUUGUGUGUGAAUGAAACCAAUAGAAAGGAAGCUGUGCUUGCCGCAGCCAUGGCUUCUGCAAAGGAUCCUGUGCCCAGGUUAGACACUGUACCAGGAGGCAUGGGUGUUGGUUAUUCCUAUCUGGAGCCAUGCUACCUUCAAGGCUGGUGUGAUGGUUAAUAUAUGCUUGGCCCAGGGAAUGAUACUAUUUUGACAUGUGACCUUGUUAGAGUAGGAGUGGCCUUAUUGUGGUGGGUGUGGCCUUGUUGUGGUGGGUGUGGCCUUGUUGUGGUGGGUGUGGCCUUGUAGAGUGGGUGUGGCCUUGUAGGAGUGGGUGUGGCCUUGUAGGAGUGGGUGAGUCGCUGGGGAUGUGGGCAUUAAGACCCUCAUCCUAGCUGACUGGAAUUCAGUCUUAGCAGCCUUCAGAUGAUGAUGUAGAACUCUCAGCUCUGCCUGCACUAUGCGUGCUUAGAUGCUGCCAUGUUCCUGUCUUGAUGAUAAUGGACUGAACCUCUGAACUUGUAAGCCAGCCCCAAUUACAUAUUGUCAUUUUAUAAGACUUGCCUUGGUCAUGGUGCCUGUUCACAGUAGUAAAACCCUAAGACAGCAGGGAAGGGUUUUUCUGCCAAAUUGUUGUCUCUUACUUUGUAAAGGCCACCAUCUGAGUAAACAGUUUGAGGUGGAGGCAAUACCCUGAGUAAUACCGUGCUUCUCCUCAAAGCUUCUUUGCACAGCCAUUGGAGGUUCACAGAGCCCACGUUGGCUAUGCGGGUCACCAAGUGGUAGUCUUCGACUGAUUGUGUGCCUACUAUGGCCUUAGCUAUGACCACCCUUUACUCUCUUUGCUUCACUGUCUCUGUAUUGAUAUCAUGUGACUCUUCUCCUUGGUGGCUUUAAUCUGUUGCUCCUUUACUUACUUGUGAUGAUCAAUUAGCCCAGCAUUUCCUGGUCAUCAGAUGUCCCCACCCUUGGAGGACUCACCUGUGACUUUCCCAGCUCCAGCUCUCCAGACAGACAUGGAGAUUCCUUGUAUCUCUAAGUCAUAGCUGCUCUUGAGAAGCCAAGACCUGACACAAGCCAUGAUGACCAAGCCUUCCUACUGGAUCCCUCAGAUUAUAACAGCAAAAGGUGUUUUAGAAGAGCCCGAAUUCUGCCAAGUACACAUCCCUGAGGUAAACCAGAAGGUCUAGAUUACCUCUGUCCUGCACUGGGUUAUACAGCUCAGUAAGAGAGCACAUCCUUAGCAUUUGUGAGACCUUGGGGUCAAUCCCCACCACUCCCUAUAAAGUUAAUAUUUAAAAUCACGGCCCUCUAGGAACUCUUCACCAGGAAAUCCCAGACCCAUUACCUCCAGGAUCUAUAAGAGCACAGCAGGAGACUGCCAGCGACCCCACAGUUUAUCUCCAUCAUUCCAGGGGGUGGCUGGCCCAAAUUUGGUACCCAAAGAAGAGCAAACAGUAGUCCAACAAUAAUCCUAUAAGCAAACAGUAGAAACACAAUGGAAAGAUCUUCACUGAGCUGCCUGAUACAGGGGAACUAGCACUGACCCCAUGCCAGCCACCCCGGUUGCUUUGGGUCCUAGCACCAGCUGCAGUUGGCUUCCUCAGAAGUGGCAGAUACUGUGAGCUCCCCUGUGGUCAGAGCUAGGCUAGUGUCAGACUCAAGGUGCAGCAAUCUGGGGUUGCUGUGCUGUGUAUCCUUAUGAUGCUUCAGUUCUGGUUGCUUUUGGGGAGCGUAUCCCUAGAGUUUUCUCUCCUAAGUACCACCUUCAUUGGCUAUUUUAUCUGCUGUGGACACAUACUGACUCAGGCCACCAUCACGAAAUAUUAGCAACUAGGUGGCUUCAACAACAUUCAUGUCCUCAAAGUCUGGAGACUAGAAUUCUCAGACGGCAGAGCAAUCAAUCCAGUUCUUUCCUGGUGAGAGCUCCCUUGGUAGCUUAGGAACGCCUCCUCUCCAUGUCCUCACACAGCCCUUCCUCUGUUGGCAGAUGUGGAAGCUUUCCCAGUGACUCCCUCUUCCUGUAGAGACUCCUGUCCUAUUAGACCAGCUCCCUUUACUGCCCUUAUGACCACACUCAACUCUCCUUAUUCUUACUGUCUCAUCCACAAACAAACCAAGGUCUGGGACUUCUAUGUAUGGAUUUUGGGGAGACAGUUCAUCCCAUGAUACCUUAGAAUUGCUUACAUUCUUUCUGAAUCAAGUCAGGAUAAUAGUAAAGGGACCCAGUGUUUCCAUUGUCAACCAGGGUCCUUAGUCUCCACAUCCUUCCCUCACACUCCACUGAAACCGACACAGACCGCCUGACCUCCACAGCUGAGCCUAUGACUCUAACUGGUAAACUCAUGUAAAUCCUGACUGCAUCACAUUGGCUCUUUCUCCCGUCCCCUGGUACUAAGAAUACUAAAGCUGGACUGUCCCUUCCAAAGCUGCCCACUUUCCCCUCUGUAUUUAAAUGUGUGAGUUUCCCACUGCUAAAAGAGGCUCCUAGAAGCAGAGGGUAGACACACAUACCACAAAUUCCAGGAUUUCAGGGUAGAAGCAGGAGGAUCAGGAGUUUGAGGUCAUCCUGAGCUACAUGGCAAGUUUAAGGCCACUGUAGACCAGUAGACCCUGAAUCUAGGAUUACAAUAGCAAGCAAAUCAUCCAGAGGCAAGAAGGUAGAGGGGGGAUAUGUGUACAGGUGAGGAGAACUCCUGAAGAGAGCCAACAAGACAAAUACAGCAGGGCAUGAACUCCAGAGCCACCUUCCUCAUCUGCAGAGACAUCCAGGAAGACUUACAGAGACAGCCACUGGCAGGAAAGACAUUGUCCAUUCCAGGGACAGCCUUUGGCACUAUUGUCCAUAGGUCUGAAGAGUGUUGUUCAAACUCAUCCAGUGGGGCUUGCUCUCUGGUCCCGACAUCAAAUACUGAAUAGUCAUUCUGAUCUAUUAACCUUGUUUUGGUGGCCCACUUCUCCCACAGCCCCUUCCUGACAGUGAUUGUCUAAGAGGCUGCAGAUCCUCAGAGACAAGCGCUCACCUACUAUAAAGAGCUGGGGGGGGGGGGUGGAGACAGUUGCUUGGCAAGGCCCAGAUCCAGAAGGUUCAUCUUGCCUCAUCUGGGUCAUGGUUUUUAUUUCCCAGUAUCCCUAAGGAUUAUAGGCUCCUUUGGUUUUUACUCAGCCAACCACGAUUUCUUGUCGAAGAUGACAUCGCCCUACCAUCAUCUAAAUAAGAUGUUGAUCAAAAGCAACAGUAUUAUCGUGGCUCUUCCUACAACACUGAACGUCGUCAUUGCUUGGGUAGCAAACUGAGUCAGUCAGCUUUCUGUCACUGUGAUGGAAUACUCGAAGGGGUCGAUUUAUGAAGAAGAAAGGUUUGUUUCGGCUCACGGUUUUGGAGGGUUUGGCCUGUGUCCGCUGUCGUUGCUUUGGGUGUCGUGGGAUGGCUCCAUGUACCUAGUAGAACCAUGUGCACAAACCACAAAACAGAGGAGAUAGGAAGGACCCCUCCUACCCACCCUCAAAGGCGCACCUCAAUGACCCAAUCACUUUCCAUACUGCCCCAUCUCUCAUAAAAACCAUCAUACCCUCCUGAUAAGAAUUGGUACCAGGAACUGAGCAUUUGCCAAGCGAACAGCACUCCUAAAACAUCGUUCUGUCUGCAGGUAGCAAGAAAAUGAUCACACCAUAGCUCAUGCUAUGGUCUCAGAAAGAAAGGGUGACAUUUAAAGACCUUUAUGUGUGCCUUCACAUACGUAUGCAUGCCAUAUGUGUACAGCACCCAUGGGGGCCAGAAGAGGGGGACUGGUCCCCUGGGACUGGAGUUACAGCAUUUGUGAGUCAUCACAUGGAUGCUGGGACCUGAACCCAGGUCCUCUUCACCCUCUCAACUGUUGAGCCCCCUCUCCAGCCCCACAUGGAACCCUUAAAUAAGUCAGCUGGUGGACUUAAAUGGGGUUAGUGUGACUCGGCUCCUGUUGUUCACACAGAGCAUGCGCCAACGACAGUUCUACCUUCCCGCUGACUUUUUUUUUAACACUAGAAGCAAAGGUGGAGUGUAACAGGUGUCUCAAGGCCACGGCCAGGAGCUUGGUUUUUCUCCCCUUGGCUUCAGUUACCAAUGCUCAGCUGAGAGUCAAACACUCAACAAUAACGUUCAAAAAUCGCCUCUUAAGGUUCUAACCGCAUGGCAUUUGUGGAGGUGCAAUUUGAUCUCUCACUUUUAGGAUCCACAGCAUUCUUCAUUCUAUGAAUCAAUCUGUGUGUCUGACCCACCUGGCAGUCACGUGGCCAUUCGGUCAUCUGAUUGCCUACUCUGUUGUAUGUACUUAGUAGCAAUGGCCCCAAAGCACAAAGUCCUGCCAGAACCAAAGACCAGCCAUUCUACCCCUGCCAAGUGGCUCUGACUAUGUCCCACCUCACCCUGCUGCUGUUAUUGGGGUUUAAUUCAUGCCAAAAACUGAGCAAAGCUAAAGUAGGGACUGUGACUCUUGAUCACCAGGCUCGGGCUGUUCCUGGGGCUUGUCCAAGCCAGAGGCCAAGUGGUGAAUCAGAGUAGAACAAGACACCUGGGGGAGCCCUUCAGAAGUCAUUUUCUGUGAUACUCAUCCCUGUAUGUCUAUGCUUCCUACCUUCCCCAGAAGCUCCCAGGAGCCGUGCAGGCUGCAGAGAGCAAAUCUUUAAGACCCAGUUUUGUGACACACCAAACUCACUAACCACAUUGGCCCCACAUCAUCUUAGCACUCAGAUAAGAGAGUGAUUUGGGGUCAUUACAGUCCAAAUGUUGGGGGACAUCACGUUCGUUAAGCCAGUGAAUAAAGCCCUAGUAGCUAUUCUUAAAGGUCCUGUCAUACACCCACAGGGCCUGAAAAUCCCAGGGACCUGUUUUCUGACCCAUAGCUGGGCUAACAGCUCUCUCAUCUGGCAAAUCUGCACUGUCAGCCCCACACAUAACCCCCCAUCUCUUUCCUUCCUCCUCAAAGGCACUGCCUUAGGCUGCUUGGCUAGAGAUUGGAAAGUAAAGUCUUGCCCAGGGACACAUCACUUUGACCCCUUUCUGCCAGUGUCAGUUCUCUUAACUGGAAGAGGAAGAACGCUGUACAGUCUUUAACUCACAUCCCCAACCCAACUGCAGUAGUGCCAGGGAUGUGGCACAGACCUAGACCUCAGGAAGACAUUCUCAGGCCUCUGGCAAGUUCAGACAUCUCCAGCUCUCUCAAGGAAAGCUCCUUUUUCCCUAGCACCGCCCACUGCAGACAGAUACUAACUGCAGGAGCUAGCCACACAGUGCUUAUUCGUCUCCAGGCAAAUAGGACAUUCCACUGAGGUCUUCUGGAAGGCCACCCUUGAGCUCCUCUGGGUUUAAACACCAAGGGGAUGGGUCUGCCUUGACAGUCACAUCCACAUUUCAACCAACCCCAUGUGGAAAAUGAAAGAGAAAUGGACCUGAGCUGAACACCACAGACCUUUCCUCUGGUCAUCCCGAAACAAUGCCAUGUAACUGUUUACAUGGAUCUGCCUUGCAUUGGCUAUUAUAAGUAAUCUAUAAUGUGAAGUGUGCGGGAAUAGGCGCACCACUUAUAUGAAAGUACUCACCAGUUUACAUGAUUAGGAGCUUGGACAUCUGUAGACUUCAGCAUUCUUAAGGGGACCAGGAAUAGUCAACCUGGGGAUAUCAAGGGACUUCAGUCACUAUCAGGUCCACGUAGAGCAGGAAGAUGAGAGAGAGAGGAAGAGGAAGGACAUGUCUCUAUAGUGAGUAGUUCGUAAUGACAGCACAGAAUAGCAGUAGUAGACAAUUUAUCAUGUGUAUAUAUACUUCAGAAUAAUUAUAUCAUGCAUUGAUUAGACUUAAGUUGAAACGCAUCGCCUUGUACCGGAAGGGAAGGGCUUUUAAUGAGGUCAUCUCUCAGUAGGCUAUAGUGGAAUGUCUUCCACUUUCUAAAAUAAUUAGUAAGUUAAAUCAAUUAUUUAAGGAGUCUCUUAAGCUCAGGUGACUAUCAGAUUCGUGAUGUAAAAUAAGAAAGAAAGAAGGAGGAAGAGAACUGGUGGAUCUAUGUUCAGAGGGACAAAAUCGUAGUAGAAAUAAUGUAUCAUAUAUGCGUGUAUAAUGAAACAGUUGUAUCAUGCAUUGAUUCAGCCAAGAUGGUGACAAUCAUGGUAGAAAUAAUGUAUCAUAUAUGCGUGUAUAAUGAAACAGUUGUAUCAUGCAUUGAUUCAGCCAAGCUAGAAAGUCUGGAUUCCAGACAAGAACCCUGACUGACAGGUCUUAUUAGCAAAUAAUCUCUGGCACUUCACUGACUCCUGCCCGCACAUUCCUGAGCCUACAGCCAUCAGAGAUCAAUGUCAUAGACCAGCCUGGCCAGCAGUGACCAUGUCCACACUGCAAUGGUCUGAGAAAUAAUGACAAGAUCGCUAGGGGAAGCCCUGGGCCAGGAUCAGCAUCUCCCAAGAGCCCUGCCCGUCCUGCUCAUUAGCUGAGUCUCUUACAGACACAGCUGUAAGAUUUCCCUGGACCUCAGCUUCUGUACCUGAUGUGAUAUCCGCUCAUCUCGGCCUCGGGCUGUCUUAAAGGAUAUGAAAUAAAAACCCAGCUUGGAAUGUGAAAUGAGGGACACAAUUAGGCAGAAGAGGCUGCGUCCGACACACUGGCACACCUGGAGCACUGGGAGUUCCCAGGCACCUGUGAAACAGCAGAUGGUUCAAACAUCUAAAAGUGUCAACCUAGCAAAAGUGGUUACUCUCUCCUCGUUAGCUGGCAACUCUCUCCUGGUGGACCCUUGAUAAGAAGAGCUGGGACCCACACAUGUAAAAUCCAAGUAUGUUAGAACACUUUAGCUCUGAGAUUAUCCCCAUAAGAAAAAGGCACAACUGUCCACCAACUAAUCCCGGGUUGGAAUCUCCAUGUCUCUCAUGCAUGGACACCCCUGUCCUCAGGUGGCAGGACUCAGUUUACCAACUUAAUCCAUCUGUGACUCUAGAAUGAGGGGGCAAAUGCAGCCACAGAAGUUGCCAUGGGGCAGAAGGGCUUGGAGUUGGCUCAGUCUGCCUUGCAUGCAUAAGGAUGUGAGUUCAAUUCCCAGCACACAUGUCUUUAAAAAGCCAGGCAGGGUGGUACACACUUAUAAUCUCAGUGCUGGGGAACCAGAGAUGGGUGGGUCCCUAGAGCUUCCUAGCCAGCCAGUCCAGGCUGCUCAGAGAAUUCCAAUCCAGUGGGAGACCCCAUCUCAAAAGAAAGGUGUGUGAUACCUGAGGAAUGAUACUCAAGGUUGCCUCAUGACCUCCACAUUUAAACACAUGAGGGGAGAGAAGGAAGAGGAGGGGAGGUGGGCAUGCCAGCCAGGUAUGGUGACACAUGCAUGUAAUCAUAAACUUAUGUUGAAAGCAGAAGGAUCAGGGCAACCUGGGCUUCAUGAGGCGCUGUCCCCAGCCCCUUCCCCAAGAAAAAGUGUAGUGUCAGUGUAUUCAAGAUCAUGUACCGUGACAUCAGACUAAUACUAGGGUCGGCAGAGCCUGUGUCUUCCCUCAGAAAGCGAAGAGGAGGGGCUUGCACUGAGAACUCAAGCACUUCUCACAGAGAGGAAGCCAGAGCUAUAAAUCAAAGGGGAAAGGUCAAAUAGACAGCUGUCUGGACCCACCAGUGAGAUACCAGUGUUCCUGCCCAAUGUCUUGCAUUCUGGUCUGUACUGAGGACAAAAUAGUUGAGGUUUCUGCCCAAUGGUACCAGGACUCAUAGACAAACUUCUACCCAGUCAUCACUGUGAUGAAGAAGCAGUGUCUGCCAUCCUUUGUAGGGUAGCUGGCUUCAGUUGAGAGGCAGGUGCCUAUUUACACCACCAUUUAAAGGACAAACCUCCUCCAUCACUGGGAACAUCCAUCCUGGGGCAUAAACCCAAACACACAGCUCAGAUAUUAGCUGAGCCAUAGCUGCUCCUCUUUCUCCCUCCCAGUAGGGGCGUCUCAGUCCAGGCAUUGCAAAUUAUGAAGCCUCCGCCAUGUUGUCCUAACCCAAGCCAGCUCUGAGAGCAGCUAUCAGGGACUAAUGCCAUUGCCCUAAGUAGCCAGCCCUCAGUCUUAGGGGUCCUUGAAGGUCCUUACGGGCCUCCAGUGGCAGCCAUGGGUCUUGAGGUCAGAGAGCUAGAGCAGGAAGAGGAGAGGCUCCUGGAUCUGGGGAUAAAGUCCUAUGCACAGCUGUCUAACAGCUGGGGGGGGGGGCUACUUUCCCUGGAAGCCAGCUGCAGCAUCCCACGGGAGUUCAUCUUUGUGUACCUUGAGGAAAGACUGCUGGUUCUCCCACCAGGUUCAAGGAGUUCUCUUCCUUCGUCAGGUCUGCAGCCUGGAAUCUGAGGAACAAGCGGCCUUCACAAGCAGUGUGCACAUCCCUGUCUCCAGGUGUAUCAUGCUUAGCCCCUCCCACAGGAGAGCAAACACGUGGGUCACAGGUCAGAAAGACCACAUGCAAAAUCACAGGAGCCCCUCGUGCUGGUCGAGAUGGGUCUCCCUGGCCUCAGUCUGAAGCAACCGGCCAUCCCUGCCACCAUCCUCGGCUAAGCAUGAAAGGACACGUGGGCUGCUCCCAGCAAACCCUCUUGGCUGUAGAGUGGGAUCCAAAGGUUUAUGCUCAUUCUUCUACUUUUAGUUCUGAUACCAUGAGAUAAAAGUCAUGCUUGUACACGAUCGCCUCUUCAAUAGCACAAAUGAAUAUAGAAUGAAAAUCCCGCCCUUCCCCCAGGCUCAUUCCUCCACAUAGGCAGAGCCCAAGCACACAGUGGCUUAAAUAUGUCACCAGCAGUGUUCUUAUUGAAACAUGCAUGCAUCACUGUAUAUCCACAUACUGUCUACACAUGAGCAUGUGUCGGCUCUCAGUUAAUUGCUUCAAAAUGUUACACGUGCGGUAGAUUUUUAUAAACACCCUGGCAGGUGAAUUUGUCUUCAGAAAGAAAUAGGGGUGAUGUGUUUUCGUUAGUUGGGUGUAUUAUGACACUUCAACAUAAAGUUUUAAAAUAUUUUCUAAUUUUACAUGCUUGUGGGUGCCUGAAUGUAUGUGUGCAAACUAUAUAUGUACAGUUGCCAACAGAGUCCAGACAAGGACAUCAGAUGCCCAGAACUGGAGUUACAAGCAGUUAUGAGCCAAGAAGUGAGUGCUGGGAACUGUACCCAAUCCUUGGCAAGAAAAGCAAGUGCUCUUAACCACUGAGCCAUCUUUCCAGCCCUACAUCAUGACAUUUUCACACACAUACAGAUGUGUGCACACGCACACACGCGCGUACACGUGCACACACGUGCACACACACACACCAUGGCACUUUGCUCAUAUUCACCACCACCCCUUACCAUCCCAUGUCCCCGUCUCCUCUCAGUGAACCUAUUGUUCCUGAUAUAGCCUGUCUUCAGUUGGAACACACACAUGUACUCAUGUGUGUUCACAGACACAUUAUAUUCUGCAUGUCAGAGAAAAUGAGACAUUUGUCCUUCCUGCCCCAUUAUCAUCUCCUGUUUUCCAAGCAUCCUUUCCUUACUCAAUCAUGCUCCUUACUUUCAUGCCAUACACACAUGACAUCAUACACACAUAUGACUCAUGUACACAUAUGCCAUCAUACACAUAUGAUGUCACACACGUGACAUCAUGUACAUAUGACAUCAUAUACACAUAUGACAUAUCACACAUAUGACAUGUACAAUGUGCAUAUGAGAGAAAUCAGGCUGCCUGCUGGCUUUGGAGUCAGGCUGUGAGUCUCUGCAGUCAGCCUUGGGUGACAAGGUCAGCUCUAGUCAGGGGGUGGGGCUGGUCAUCCCUAACUGAGCCUCUGACCAUCAAGACUUCUGCAUUUGUCCCUCAGUGAUCUCUGCAACUCUCUCCCCUCGCUGCCUCCUGCCCGAGAGCCAUGUCCUGUCAUCUCCAGGCUCUCAGGCUCCCAGAACAGCUCAGUCUUAGGUACGUGAUGUCCCCUUAACAUGACACCUGGCCACAGCAAUGGAAAGCUGACAAAAUAGACCUCGUCUCCCUGACAAGGGGUCAUCACCUCACCAAAUCCCCCAACUGGAUCUUAUUAGUAAUGGCCCCAAAGAGUUGUGGCUUGUGGGUUCAGCUACCGGGUUAUGUUCACCAGGAACACCUUGCUUAUGAUUUUUUUUGUUGUUUUUUUUUCUUUUUUAUUAAAGUAUUUUAUUCAUUUACAUUCCAAUAUCACCUCCUUCCUGGUCACCCCUCCCUAAGAUCUUCACCCCCUCCUCCUCCUCCCCUUUGCUUCUGAGAAGGUGCUCCCCUAUCCACCUAACCAUCUCCACCUCUCCUCACCCCCAGUAUCCCCCUUCCCUGGGGCAUCAAGUCUCUAUAGGAUUAGGCACAUCCUCUUCCACUAAGGCCAGUCAAGGCAGCCCUCUGCUACAUAUGUGCCAGAGUGGGAGGGAGGUGGGGGCACGGACCAGCCAUGUAUGCUCUUUGGUUGGUGGCUUAGUCUCUGAGAGCUCUGAGGGGUCUGGUUAGUUGAUACUGUUGUUCUUCCUAUGUGGUUGCAAUCCCCUUCAGGUCUUCAAUCCCUUCCCUAACUCUUCCAUAGGGUUCCCCGACAUCAGUCCAGUGGUUGGCUGUAAGUAUCUGCAUCUGUCUCAGUUAGCCAAUGGUAGAGCCCCUCAGAGGAUGGCCAUGCCAGGCUCUUGUCUGCAAGCAAAACAUGGCAUCAGGAAUAGUGUUGGGGUUUGGUACCUAAGCAUGGGAUGGAUCCCCCUUGGGCUGGUCACUGGAUGCUGCUUAGCUUCUGUCUCCCAUUCUUACCCUGCAGGGAGCUGCACUGGAGCAAGAGGCCGCCAUACUUCCUCCCUGUACCAUUUCCUCCCCUUCAGCCUCAGCGCCCCUCCCAUCUUGUAUCCUGGAGUAGAGUCUGUUCCUGACUCUCCUCUUCUUGUCCACACCACACCUGUGUGCAGGGCCGCGCUGUGCAAGACCACGUUAGGGAGGCACCUUUUCAGUAACACUGUAAUGAGCCCCGACCCUCCCGGGGCAGAUUCUCAGAAGAUUGAUGGGAUUCAAAAGGACUUGUGCAUGCCGCUUUUAAGGAUUUCCAGGUUGUAGAGCGUUGUGACAGUUUAUGGUCCCUCUCCAGAGGCAAGCGGAGCUGCAUGCACACAUCCCAGCCGCUCUGCAAAUGUGCAAUGCAUUCAUCUUUGCCAAUGAGGUGAAGCUGGAUAUUGUUUGGGUUGCGUGGAGCAUAAUUGGGAAUAUAUGGAUAGCUGUCUCUUGCUGCAGUCUGCAUGUUUUUUUCUUGGAGGUUAUUAUCUCAUCUAAUUGACAUGACAUAAAGCCAAUCAGCCCCCUGCCAGUUACGCAUUCUGUAAACAUCUUUCAUAGUCUGCCCUUCGCCUCACACAUUUCUUUAAUAAUUGAAUUUUACCUUUCAUUUCUUUCAACUGCAGGAAAUUUUAUUUCAUAGGAUAAAUUGACAUCUUGCUUCACAUGGCCACCUUUUACGGAACACUCAGAGAGCUUCCUCUGGUCUUCCUAGCUAAUUCCCACAAGAUGAGUCUCCCUUUCAACAGCGAUUUUACUGUCCAGUUUUUAGUGUUCUGCUUACUUCUUGAUUUUUUUUUUUCGUUUUUCCUGGCUAGGAUUUUUUGAACCAGCUGACUCAACAAAGCAUCCAGCUUGCAUUUUUCCUAAAUGACCGGCCAAUUGUCCUAACACACUCACCGAGACAAUUCAGCUCCCUUCAGAGCUCAUUGGCUCUGUGCUUCCUCAUUCUGACUCUCUUCUGCCAAAGAAAAAUGUCAAACGUUCCUCCUGUUUGGGCUGCAUUGACUGUGACAGGUACCUCAGCUCCUCGAAACUGUCCAUGCCUAUGUAACAGCUCACAACCAUUAUUGCCAACCUAUGCCCUCGCAGACCCCAAUACCCAAGAAUGGGACAUUCCUGGGAACAGAAUCACUGCAGAUGUAGUUGGCUAACAUGAGGACAUACCCCAGAGUCACACGAACCGCAAGUGACUGUUGUCCUUAGGACAAAGGACCAUUCAUACACACAGACGCAGGGAGAAGCCCAUGUGAGAGCAAAGGAAGAAAUCAGAGUAUAACACUAACACACCUCGACUAGAGAGAUGGCUCAGCAGUUAAGAGCACCAUCUGCUCUUCCAGAGGUCCUGAGUUCAAUUCCUAGCAGCCACAUGGUGGCUCACAACCAUCUGUAAUGGACUCUGAUGCCCUCUUCUGUAUCUGAAGACAGUGCAACAGUGUACUCAUAUAAAUAAAUAAAUAAAUAAAUAAAUAAAUAAAUAAAUAAAUAAAUAAAUAAAGUGUUUAAAAAAAAAA